GCAUAUCAUAAGCGGAGGAAAAGAAACUAACAAGGAUUCCCCUAGUAACGGCGAAGUGAAGUGGGAAAAGCUCAACUUUUGAAAUCUGGCUGCUUUGCAGUCCGAGUUGUAGUUUCGAGAAGUGUUUUCCGCGGCAAUCCAUGUAUGAGUCUGUUGGAACACAGCGUCAUAGAGGGUGAGAACCCCGUUCAUGGCAUGGCUAUUGUUGCUUUGUGAUACACUUUCGACGAGUCGAGUUGUUUGGGAAUGCAGCUCAAAUUGGGUGGUAAAUUCCAUCUAAAGCUAAAUAUUGGCGAGAGACCGAUAGCAAACAAGUACCGUGAGGGAAAGAUGAAAAGCACUUUGGAAAGAGAGUUAAAAGUACGUGAAAUUGUCGAAAGGGAAACGAUUGAAGUCAGACGUGCAUGGUACUCGUUACCUUUGCAGGCCAACAUCGGUUUUGCGAGUCGGAUAAAGGUAGAGGAAAGGUAGCAGUCUAGGCUGUGUUAUAGUCCUCUACUGAAUACGGAUUGCGAGACCGAGGGACGCAGUGCGCCGCAAGGCAAAGGGUCCGCCCUUUACGCACUUAGGAUGUUGGUGAAAUGGCUUUAAACGACCCGUCUUGAAACACGGACCAAGGAGUCUAACAUGCUUGCGAGUGUUUGGGUGUCAAACCCAUACGCGUAAUGAAAGUGAAUGGAGGUGGGAUCCGCAAGGAGCACCAUCGACCGGCCUCGAGAUUUAUCAAAGGGUCUGAGUAAGAGCACGUAUGUUGGGACCCGAAAGAUGGUGAACUAUGCCUGAAUAGGGUGAAGCCAGAGGAAACUCUGGUGGAGGCUCGUAGCGGUUCUGACGUGCAAAUCGAUUCGUCAAAUUUGGGGUAUAGGGGGCGAAAGACUAAUCGAACCAUCUAGUAGCUGGGUUCCUGCGA
rnacentral:rRNA from 1 species